rnacentral:rRNA from 1 species
UACGUAGGGGGCUAGCGUUGUCCGGAAUCAUUGGGCGUAAAGCGCGUGUAGGCGGCCCGGUAAGUCCGCUGUGAAAGUCGGGGGCUCAACCCUCGGAUGCCGGUGGAUACUGUCAGGCUAGAGUGCGGAAGAGGCGAGUGGAAUUCCUGGUGUAGCGGUGAAAUGCGCAGAUAUCAGGAGGAACACCAAUUGCGAAGGCAGCUCGCUGGGACGUGACUGACGCUGAGACGCGAAAGCGUGGGGAGCAAACAGG